rnacentral:lncRNA from 13 species
CUCUAUACCAGGCGGUGUCAGAGGAAGGCCCUAAAAUGUGUUAAAGACUCCAGCCACCCUAGUCAUAGACUGUUCUCUCUGCUACCACACAGCAAGCGGUACCGGAGCGCCAAGUCUAGGUCCAAGAGUCUUCUAAACAGCUUUUACCCCUAAGCCAUAAGACUCCUGAACAUCUAAUCAAAUGGCCACCCAGACUAUUUGCAUUGCCACCACCCCUCUUUUAUACCGCUGCUACUCUCUGUUGUUAUCAUCUACAGUAUAUAUAGUCAUUUUAAUAACUCGCCCUACAUGUACAUAUUACCUCAACUAACCGGUGUCCCCGCACAUGGACUCUCUACUCCCCUGUAUAUAGUCUCGCUAUUGUUAUUUACUGCUGCUCUUUAAUUCAAUUAUACUUUUAUUUGUUAUUGUUAUUCGUAUCAAACACCUGCAUUUUGUGACUAAUAAAAUGUGAUCUGAUUUGAAUUUCAGGAUCUGAAUGGUAGUUUGAUCAUAGCACUCCUCUCACAGCUAUACAAGUAUUCCCUGAAUUUACUCAGUUUGUUUGGAAUGGGAAGUAUACCCAGCAUACCUCCAGCAGAAGGAUUGGCCUGCUAGAGUUGUAAUGCGUUUGUAGCCUACAUUGUGUGUGACUUAUAUAUAACAUUUGCUAACAUGAGUACACAUUGCAUACAAUGGUGCUACACUAAUGGUCACGUUCCAAGCCCUAUGCCUGUAAAGUGAUUUGAACGCCAAUCGGCUGCACUCCGGUACUGUACCUGCACCACGAAUAUGACAUCGUUUUUCCUCUAUAUAACCAUUAUAUUUGUUACGCUACUUGGGCGUACCUAUAAUGGUUUGGAAGAGAACCAUAAACCAACCACUGAAUUAAAUUGUAAUGACGGUCCUAGACACAUAUGUACUAACACAAAUUGUAGCUGGACUGGCUUCUUGAAAGACGUUGUAUUUGAUUGCCCGCUUGAUAAUGACAAGUUUCAAUGUUCAGUGGAGACGGAUGAAGUAAAGAAAAACCAGGAAGAACAACAAACAGUACCAGUGGCACCGAUAUGCAAAGACAAUAGAAGCUGUGGAUUCCCUACAACAUUUGUCGGUGAAAGUGUAAGAUGCACCAUACAUAUGCAAACACAACUACCAGCAACAUCAAGAGAACCAGACAAUCUGAAGAAUGAAACAGAGCCAAAACACAAUAUACCCUGGUGGAUUUGGUUAAUCAUUUGCCUUUGCCUUUGGCAUUAGCGUUGGCAUUGGUGUUGGGAUUUGGAUUAAUCGAUGUCAGAAGAAAAAGGAUUCAUUUGAGACACGUGAUGAGGCGUAUAUAGAAGUGGAUGGAAUGGUAUAAAAAACGAAUGAGGUGGUAUUAUUGCAGGGGUUAACCUAUGGGUGCACUAGUAUGAGCCAUCAUCAGCCAGCAGGCUAUUUUAAUACUAAUCUCAUUGGGGUAAAUUAAUAAAAUGUUUUAAAAGAUAAAUCAAAUCUGCAUGGAUUAGUGUUUGCCAUCAUGUGUGAUGCAGUGAUAAAACACCUGAAAGAAUGCCUACAUUAACAUACAGUACCGGUCAAAAGUUUGGAGACACCUACUCAUUCCAGGGUUUUUCUUAAUCUUUUACUAUUUUAUACAUUGUAGAGUAAUAGUAAAGAAGACAUAAAAACUAUGAAAUAACACAUAUGGAAUCAUGUAGUAACCAAAAAAAGUGUUAAACAAAUCCAAAGAUUUGAAAUUCUUCAAAGUAGCCACCCUUUGCCUUGAUGACAGCUUGGCACGCUCUUGGCAUUCUCUCAACCAGCUUCAUGAGGAAUGCUUGAAGAAGUUCCCACAUAUGCUGAGCAGUUGUUGGCUGCUUUGCCUCCACUCUGCGGUCCAACUCAUCCCAAACAAUCUCAAUUGGGUUGAGUUCGGGUGAUUGUGGAGGACAGGUCAUCUGAUGCAGCACUCCAUCACUCUCCUUGGUCAAAUAGACCUUACACAGCUUGGAGGUGUGUUUUGGGUCAUUGUCCUGUUGAAAACAAAUGAUAGUCCCACUAACCUUACAGUGAAAUGCUUACUUACAGGCCCCUAACCAACAAUGCAGUUUAAAAAAUAUGAAUAAGAAUAAGAAAUAAAUGUAACAAGUAGCUAAAGAGCAGCAGUAAAAUAACAAUAGCAAGACUAUAUACAGGGGGUACCGGUACAGAGUCAAUGUGCACUGGUUAGUUGAGGUAAUAUGUACAUGUAGGUAGAGUUAUUAAAGUGACUAUACAUAGAUAAUAACAGAGUAGCAACGGCAUAAUAGGGGGGG